rnacentral:rRNA from 1 species
ACGGUAGGGUAUUGGCCUACCGUGGCUAUGACGGGUAACGGGGAAUUAGGGUUCGAUUCCGGAGAGGGAGCCUGAGAAACGGCUACCACAUCUAAGGAAGGCAGCAGGCGCGCAAAUUACCCAAUCCUAAUACAGGGAGGUAGUGACAAGAAAUAACAAUACAGAGCCUUACGGUUUUGUAAUUGGAAUGAGUUAAGUAUAAACCCCUUAACAAGUAUCAAUUGGAGGGCAAGUCUGGUGCCAGCAGCCGCGGUAAUUCCAGCUCCAAUAGCGUAUAUUAAAGUUGUUGCAGUUAAAAAGCUCGUAGUUAAUUUUCUGUUAAUUUUUAUAUACAAUGCUACGGUAUUUAUAUAAUAUUAACAUAAUUCAUAUUACUUUUUAGUAUAUGAAACUUUACUUUGAGAAAAUUAGAGUGCUUAAAGCAGGCUAUUGCCUUGAAUACUCCAGCAUGGAAUAAUAUUAAGGAUUUUUAUUCUUCUUAUUGGUUCUAGAAUAAAAAUAAUGAUUAAUAGGGACAGUU